GGUUAAGCGACUAAGCGUACACGGUGGAUGCCCUGGCAGUCAGAGGCGAUGAAGGGCGUGCUAAUCUGCGAUAAGCGCCGGUAAGGUGAUAUGAACCGUUAUAACCGGCGAUACCCGAAUGGGGAAACCCAGUGUGAUUCGUCACACUAUCAUUAACUGAAUCCAUAGGUUAAUGAGGCGAACCGGGGGAACUGAAACAUCUAAGUACCCCGAGGAAAAGAAAUCAACCGAGAUUCCCCCAGUAGCGGCGAGCGAACGGGGAGGAGCCCAGAGCCUGAAUCAGCAUGUGUGUUAGUGGAAGCGUCUGGAAAGGCGCGCGAUACAGGGUGACAGCCCCGUACACAAAAGCGCAUGUGCUGUGAGCUCGAUGAGUAGGGCGGGACACGUGGUAUCCUGUCUGAAUAUGGGGGGACCAUCCUCCAAGGCUAAAUACUCCUGACUGACCGAUAGUGAACCAGUACCGUGAGGGAAAGGCGAAAAGAACCCCGGCGAGGGGAGUGAAAAAGAACCUGAAACCGUGUACGUACAAGCAGUGGGAGCACCCUUUGGGGUGUGACUGCGUACCUUUUGUAUAAUGGGUCAGCGACUUAUAUUCUGUAGCAAGGUUAACCGUAUAGGGGAGCCGGAGGGAAACCGAGUCUUAAUUGGGCGUUAAGUUGCAGGGUAUAGACCCGAAACCCGGUGAUCUAGCCAUGGGCAGGUUGAAGGUUGGGUAACACUAACUGGAGGACCGAACCGACUAAUGUUGAAAAAUUAGCGGAUGACCUGUGGCUGGGGGUGAAAGGCCAAUCAAACCGGGAGAUAGCUGGUUCUCCCCGAAAGCUAUUUAGGUAGCGCCUCGUGAAUUCAUCUCCGGGGGUAGAGCACUGUUUCGGCUAGGGGGCCAUCCCGGCUUACCAACCCGAUGCAAACUGCGAAUACCGGAGAAUGUUAUCACGGGAGACACACGGCGGGUGCUAACGUCCGUCGUGAAGAGGGAAACAACCCAGACCGCCAGCUAAGGUCCCAAAGUCAUGGUUAAGUGGGAAACGAUGUGGGAAGGCCCAGACAGCCAGGAUGUUGGCUUAGAAGCAGCCAUCAUUUAAAGAAAGCGUAAUAGCUCACUGGUCGAGUCGGCCUGCGCGGAAGAUGUAACGGGGCUAAACCAUGCACCGAAGCUGCGGCAGCGACACUAUGUGUUGUUGGGUAGGGGAGCGUUCUGUAAGCCUGUGAAGGUGUGUCGUGAGGCAUGCUGGAGGUAUCAGAAGUGCGAAUGCUGACAUAAGUAACGAUAAAGCGGGUGAAAAGCCCGCUCGCCGGAAGACCAAGGGUUCCUGUCCAACGUUAAUCGGGGCAGGGUGAGUCGACCCCUAAGGCGAGGCCGAAAGGCGUAGUCGAUGGGAAACGGGUUAAUAUUCCCGUACUUGGUGUUACUGCGAAGGGGGGACGGAGAAGGCUAUGUUGGCCGGGCGACGGUUGUCCCGGUUUAAGCGUGUAGGUGUGUGUUCCAGGUAAAUCCGGUUCACUUUAACACUGAGGCGUGAUGACGAGGCACUACGGUGCUGAAGCAACAAAUGCCCUGCUUCCAGGAAAAGCCUCUAAGCAUCAGGUAACAUCAAAUCGUACCCCAAACCGACACAGGUGGUCAGGUAGAGAAUACCAAGGCGCUUGAGAGAACUCGGGUGAAGGAACUAGGCAAAAUGGUGCCGUAACUUCGGGAGAAGGCACGCUGACACGUAGGUGAAGUGAUUUACUCAUGGAGCUGAAGUCAGUCGAAGAUACCAGCUGGCUGCAACUGUUUAUUAAAAACACAGCACUGUGCAAACACGAAAGUGGACGUAUACGGUGUGACGCCUGCCCGGUGCCGGAAGGUUAAUUGAUGGGGUCAGCGCAAGCGAAGCUCCUGAUCGAAGCCCCGGUAAACGGCGGCCGUAACUAUAACGGUCCUAAGGUAGCGAAAUUCCUUGUCGGGUAAGUUCCGACCUGCACGAAUGGCGUAAUGAUGGCCAGGCUGUCUCCACCCGAGACUCAGUGAAAUUGAACUCGCUGUGAAGAUGCAGUGUACCCGCGGCAAGACGGAAAGACCCCGUGAACCUUUACUAUAGCUUGACACUGAACAUUGAGCCUUGAUGUGUAGGAUAGGUGGGAGGCUUUGAAGUGUGGACGCCAGUCUGCAUGGAGCCGACCUUGAAAUACCACCCUUUAAUGUUUGAUGUUCUAACGUGGACCCGUAAUCCGGGUUGCGGACAGUGUCUGGUGGGUAGUUUGACUGGGGCGGUCUCCUCCUAAAGAGUAACGGAGGAGCACGAAGGUUGGCUAAUCCUGGUCGGACAUCAGGAGGUUAGUGCAAUGGCAUAAGCCAGCUUGACUGCGAGCGUGACGGCGCGAGCAGGUGCGAAAGCAGGUCAUAGUGAUCCGGUGGUUCUGAAUGGAAGGGCCAUCGCUCAACGGAUAAAAGGUACUCCGGGGAUAACAGGCUGAUACCGCCCAAGAGUUCAUAUCGACGGCGGUGUUUGGCACCUCGAUGUCGGCUCAUCACAUCCUGGGGCUGAAGUAGGUCCCAAGGGUAUGGCUGUUCGCCAUUUAAAGUGGUACGCGAGCUGGGUUUAGAACGUCGUGAGACAGUUCGGUCCCUAUCUGCCGUGGGCGCUGGAGAACUGAGGGGGGCUGCUCCUAGUACGAGAGGACCGGAGUGGACGCAUCACUGGUGUUCGGGUUGUCAUGCCAAUGGCACUGCCCGGUAGCUAAAUGCGGAAGAGAUAAGUGCUGAAAGCAUCUAAGCACGAAACUUGCCCCGAGAUGAGUUCUCCCUGAGACUUAGAGUCUCCUGAAGGAACGUUGAAGACGACGACGUUGAUAGGCCGGGUGUGUAAGCGCAGCGAUGCGUUGAGCUAACCGGUACUAAUGAACCGUGAGGCUUAACCUU
rnacentral:rRNA from 1 species